GGAACUAGUUGUGGGGACCAUUCCACGGUUUCCGUGACGCAGCUAACGCAUUAAGUUCCCCGCCUGGGGAGUACGGCCGCAAGGCUAAAACUCAAAGGAAUUGACGGGGACCCGCACAAGCGGCGGAGCAUGCGGAUUAAUUCGAUGCAACGCGAAGAACCUUACCAAGGCUUGACAUAUACGAGAACGGGCCAGAAAUGGUCAACUCUUUGGACACUCGUAAACAGGUGGUGCAUGGUUGUCGUCAGCUCGUGUCGUGAGAUGUUGGGUUAAGUCCCGCAACGAGCGCAACCCUCGUUCUAUGUUGCCAGCACGUAAUGGUGGGAACUCAUGGGAUACUGCCGGGGUCAACUCGGAGGAAGGUGGGGAUGACGUCAAAUCAUCAUGCCCCUUAUGUCUUGGGCUUCACGCAUGCUACAAUGGCCGGUACAAAGGGCUGCAAUACCGUGAGGUGGAGCGAAUCCCAAAAAGCCGGUCCCAGUUCGGAUUGAGGUCUGCAACUCGACCUCAUGAAGUCGGAGUCGCUAGUAAUCGCAGAUCAGCAACGCUGCGGUGAAUACGUUCCCGGGUCUUGUACACACCGCCCGUCAAGUCAUGAAAGUCGGUAACACCUGAAGCCGGUGGCCCAACCCUUGUGGAGGGAGCCGUCGAAGGUGGGA
rnacentral:rRNA from 1 species